GAUGAAGAACGUAGCGAAAUGCGAUAAGUAAUGUGAAUUGCAGAAUUCAGUGAAUCAUCGAAUCUUUGAACGCACAUUGCGCCCGCGAGUAUUCUCGCGGGCAUGCCUGUCCGAGCGUCAUUUCAACCCUCAGGGCCCGCCUGCUUGCAGGCGCGGCGCUGGUGUUGGGGAUCGGCUACCCUGCCGUCCCCCAAAUACAGUGGCGGUCUCGCUGCAGCCUCCCCUGCGUAGUAGCAACACUCGCAUGCGGAGCGCGGCGCGGCCACGCCGUAAAACCCCCGACUUUCUGAACGUUGACCUCGGAUCAGGUAGGAAUACCCGCUGAACUUAAGCAUAUCAAUAGCGGAGGA
rnacentral:misc_RNA from 1 species